UUGGAACUAAUUAGCAUGUCUGGCUCAGCUAACUAACAAAUCAGACAGUCAAUUAGCCUCGGGCUAGCCUCAGAGGAAGAGUCAAGAUGACAAGCUGUGCUAACGGAGCUAAUGUGAGCACAUGGUUGCCAUAGUUACACUAUUAUUCCCUCAAUACAUUUUCUUUUUUAUCGUCAAAGUCUCUCUGGCCACAGAGGUGGAGUCAGGGCUCCUCUAUGGUCACCUGAACUCAUUAUGGAAUGCACAGGAGUAGAUUAUACUGCAGGACCAGUUUGACAGGUUUUUUUUUUUGUUGUUGUUGUCCAUUGUUCCCUCACUACAGCCAUUAAUGGAAAAUACAUCCAGCCUCCUACCAUCAUCCAGUGUGAUCUCCUGGAGGCCCAAGGAUCCCAGAUUUGGUUGGUCUUCAGGCUCCUGCUUGAUGCUCAGCACUUUUCCGGUGCUGGAGAGGAGAGGCUGUCCCUUCUGGGCGUCAGCAGGAGUCCCAAACGCUCUGCUGGGACUCAGAGAUGGAGAUUUUAACCUCUGAGGCCCAACAGGGGUGGCCUGGGGAGGAAGCGAGGAGGUGCGCGGGGCGAUGGUGAAGGUUUGAAGAGGGACAGAAGAGGCCUGGGGAGGGAUGACCGAAGUCUGGAGUGGAAUCAAGGUCUGAUGGGGUACAGAGGAGAGAUCGGACAUCCAGCUCCUGGACGACAUGCUGCUGCAGGGGCUCGGGCAGAGAACCGGGUCCCGGUAGCAGGGGUCCAGCUGCAGGUACAGCUGGCCCCUGGGCCAGGACGCAUCAGGGUAGCCCCCUUCUGCCCCACCCACUGCCAAAGCCUCAAGGCCAGUGUCGGGCUCCACAUGGCUGUUCGGGGCUAUGGAGGUGAUCUGGAUACUGGGGCAGUCAAACAGUCUUGGGUUCCUCUGGGCCCCAUACUGGGGCCCCUGGAUGUGGCAGCCUACAUACUGGUAGGUGUCUGCGGGGGAAAAAUAUAGAGGCUGCAGCUCCUGGCUGACGGGCUGCCCAGCCACAGCCUGUGUGGAGGAGGAAGGUGGCCUCACGCUGACAUCAGGAGCUGCAGGGAGGAGAAGAGCCAGCAUGUAAAUCUGGGAUGUGACUUCGUUUGCAUUGCAAACACACUCUUUUAUUGUGUUUUCUUGCCAUGUUACCCCAUUCAGAGC
rnacentral:lncRNA from 1 species